AUGUUUACUCCAGAACCACCUGGGAGAAAUGCUGUCAAGAGGCUUAUUAAUACUUUUAACCAAGGGGUGGAGGACAAUUCAAGACAAAGUCCUUUAGACCAAAAACCAAUAAGAGUAAGGGGCAACAAGAAAUGCACUCUCCCACAGCUACAGAACAGCAGAGGAGCUCUUACCACCAGCGGAAAUAUCAAGAGUAGCAUCCAUCCGCUUGAGCCCAGACCUGAGCAACUGGAUAUAGACAGCCUCCCACCUCCACCCCCAGAGAUGCUCAUGGACAACUCAUUUGAAAGCAGUUUAGGGUUGCCCACUGAGGAUGGGGCUCAUGAUUUACAGUGCAGAGGACAAAGACUACGCACUUCAAUGCAAAGAGAGACUGUGCUCCCCAACCGGGGCAGUGUGCAGCGAGGCUCCAUGAGCUUCUCAGCUACUCAGCCUGUGAGGCAAGAUGCUUUGCCAGGUUCCAGCACUGAACAGGAAUACAAAAAAGUGACUGAGCUGGAUUCUGAAAGAGAAGCAGCACACACCCUUGACCAGAAAUUUCGAAAAGUUGUUCAUCUAUCCGCUGAUUCUUCAGCCAAGACAGCCCCGGCUAAUGCAGGUAUGCACGGUUCCAUGCCUUAUCAAGAAUGUGAAAACCAUAAUGAAGGCGAGACUGCAAGUAUUCAAGCAAAAACAUUUCCUCCAACAACUCCACCUGUCUCGAGAGCACGGCUUCCACCCUCCUGCCCCACUGUGCGCCACGCAGUGCCAAGUCCUCCAUCCACAGCCUGCCCCCCGAGCACGAAGUGGACUCCAUCCACAACAUCUGCCACCUCUAGUAUACACAGAUGUGCGAUGGCUGAAGAAAACAGCCUCCAUGCUUCUGGGACACAAUCAUUUUGUGAAGCUCGGGCUGUGUUCUGUAAGGAGAGCAAAUCACUCCCUCACACACUGACGCAUUCAUGUACGUCUACAUUACCUCGGCCAUGGGGAGAACCUGCCAGAGGAAGACCGACAACUACUCGUCUUCAACCUUCUUUUAUGGGACGCAGUCCAUCAGGUCAAAGGUCAUCCCAUAGUGAGCAGCCACAGUUGUUGCCUAAUGCCAAACAACAACAGGGCCAGGUCAAUGACGUCACACCUUUGACCAGUGAGGGGACAACCACGGCGUCCAUGAGAGCAGACGACAGCGGCACAGACUCGGAGCCGUCCACUGCUGAUCUGAUCUGAACACACACAGCGGGUUUGUGGGUGAGGAGAUUACAGAUUAGCUGGAUUAAGGCCUUUUCUCUCUCCUGAGAGCUCUAACAUAGAUAUACAUGGAAACAUUUCCAAUAAAUACAAACACCAUGAUGCUUAAAAGAGCUUAGAAGUUUUAAAAAAACACCUGCCUGUGUAUAUUUGUAACUGUGUGUCAAGCUGUCUUCUUAAUCUGUUAUUUAAACUCAUGUUUACUCUUCUAUUCGUAGCAUGAUCUUCCUUUUGGUUUUAAUACGUAACAAAGGAUUAUUAAGUUCAGUCUGAGAGGCAUCAUUUUCUUUUUGUAUCCUGUAAUCAGUUCAUCUGGAGCCAGUUCAUCACUUACUACUUGUUAGAAAUAUCUAAUCACUAAUAAUUAAAAUAUUAUUUCACAUAUGUCUUAUAUAAACACUUAUGCUUAUUUUGUGAAUUUGUGGUCGUAACAGUGAUUCUGCAUUCAUUUCAUUAGGGUGGAUGAACCCUUCAGAUUUCUGCAUGAAUUGAUUUUAAAAUGUGAUCUGAUACUAAAAAAUAAUGUUUCAAACACACACUUUUGCACUGUUUGAUCUGCCCUGUCAUGAAAUAAAAACACAAUGUACCAUCUGCUGGUGAGAGAUUUCAGAGGACCUCAGAGAUGAGUUAUUAAAGGAGAAGCUGAACAUGAAAACUCUGUCAUUAUUUAUUUCGCUAGCACUUGUUUUUUCUGUUCAACACAAAAAGAAACUCUUCACAUUAAUCUUUUCCUCAUAGUGACCACAAGUUACAAGAACUGUAACAACCACCAUAAAAGCAGCAGGACAUGUCCACUGGUCUUCAGAAGAGGUGUAUACUGCUCCUCUAGAAACACUAGAAGCUAAACAGCGCCACCUACAGGACAGCAGUCAGAAGGACACUGACUACACGUCUCCGUUCAUCUCAGUAGCAUCAGCUUAAAGGCUGUGUGUUUGUUGAGAAGAAAGAAGACUGCACACAACACAUCUUGACACAUCUCUUCUGAACAGCAGCAUGUUCACAGACAGUGUACUGCUGAUCGGGUAUUUCAGACAGAUGUUUACCUUGAGUAAGAAGAAAGUCAUAUACAGCUAGGAUGGCUUGAGGGUGAGUAAAUCAUGGGAUAUUUUCAUUUUUGGGUGAACUGUCCCUUUGGGACGUGGCAAGCCAAACCAUCAGAGAGCAGCGAUGAGAGGAAGCAGUGCGUGAAUGAAUGGAUUGCUUCAGAUAUAAACUGAUUAGGUUGUGUGUCAUUUUGAAGGACACGUGUGAAAAUGUUUUUGAGUACAUUUCUUAAAGCCACACAAAAGAAUCAAAGAAUCGUGUAAGACGCAGUAAACUUGAGAUUAUGACUUGUGACGUCAGAAAAAACAAAAACAAAAAUAAACAAACAUGAAUAUGAUAACAUACAUAUGCAUAACACUAAAUUUGUAAUAUAAUUUUUUAAUUAAAAAAAAUAUUCAUUAGACAUUGUUUUUUAAUGUUUGUAUUAAACACAGACCAUUACUUUAUUCAUGAUUUCUGCUGUUGCAGGCUUAUUUUGUAAAUGUAAGCGUUUGAAAUUUUAGACAAAUGCAAACUUGGUGCUUAAUGAAAAAUUUGUCACAUUUACAGAAUCAGGUGAUUGUUUUCAUGCAUCUAUACAAAUACAUAGAGACAGAAGAAUGAGGUGCAUCACUGUCAGCAUCAGCUUAGUGCAUUUGUGAAGACACUGAUUAAUGAAUGCUUUGAGCAAAUAGUAUUAAAUACUAUCUAAACGAAUUCCAAUUUUAACCUUUAAAUUUUAAUAUUUGAAUAAACUUUAUAUACAACAAAAUAAGCUUUACAUGAAAUAUAAAGUUUUUUUCCCCCUAUAGGGAAAAUAAAAACGAAAUAAAUGAAAAUGAAAGUUUCUAAGCAAUUGUACACACACACACACACACACACACACACACACACACACACACACACACACACACACACACACGACACACACACAAGCUGUAUUUGUUUUUAAACAUUUUUCCCACACAGUAUUUUGUAUUUUUAUUUUAAACAGAUUUUCAUGUAUUUGUGCGCAUCUCUGGUAUUACUGCGCAGGACAGGACAGAAGAUGUCACGUGGUACCUGCUUACUGUAAUAUUAACUAUCACUGGAGGAUUCGUGCGGAUCUACAGUUACAGUGCUGCUUCCGGCCUCCAGAGCGCGCUGCGCGUUCCGCUGUCAGAGCCGCACAUCAACAUCCGGGUCACGGCCGUCGCGGUCAGUGUCGCUCCAGGAGGCGCUCAGCAUCAAAACAGCGGCGUUUUUAACUGAAUCCACGGCGUUUCCUGCGACCCGACCGUCAGGUGAUCAAUAGUCUGGAGCGGCGGGAGAGUCGGGCGCAGCU
rnacentral:lncRNA from 1 species